rnacentral:misc_RNA from 1 species
UACAGAGGUCCCAAGCGUUGUUCGGAUUCACUGGGCGUAAAGGGUGCGUAGGCGGUGGGGUAAGUUUGAGGUGAAAUCUCCGGGCUCAACCCGGACAAGCCUUGAAUACUAUCCUGCUAGAGGAUGUCAGGGGAAACUGGAAUUCCUGGUGUAGCGGUGAAAUGCGCAGAUAUCAGGAGGAACACCGGUGGCGAAGGCGGGUUUCUGGGACAUUACUGACGCUGAGGAGCGAAAGCGUGGGGAGCAAAAGGG